AUCAGAUAUUUGUUUAUACGAAACUUAAUGGAGGCAGCAACGAGGAGGUUUAGGUUGAAAAAAUUUCGUAAUCAGUGAUUUGCAAUUCCUUUCUCUUGUAUAAGGUCGAUUGUGCAUUUUCAUAGUUCAAUUGACAAUGCCUAAAAUAUAGAAAUAUAGUUUAGGGUAAAAAUUGGAGCUGGGUUAAGUGCCAGUCUAUGAAAAUCACCAGUGUCAUGAAACUCACCUAACCCAAAUAAAACAAAACCCCAAUACCCUCUUUCUCUCUCAGUCCACCAGUUCCCCCACCUUAGCUCCACCACCACCUCCACCUCCACAUCAAAUGCCGCCGGUCCCCUCUCUCACUCUCUCUCUUACUGCACCAGUUCACAACACUGACACCGGUCCCCCCAAAAGCAGUCAAACGCAGGUGUUUCUUAUGUGACGCCGCUUACUGCCUCCAAAAAAACCCAAGGGGUUUUCGAAUCGCAGAGCAUCAGCCACCUCGCGCUCAGAGCUCAGAAUCCUCCACCUUUACCUUCGAUAAUGGCGACUCAGAUGAUCUAAAAGCGAAAGGUUAGCCCCUCUUUUUUUAACUCUUCGUUUGUUUUGCGAGAUAACAGAAAAUGCGAAGCAAACAGAAACAAUCGUUUUUAAUUUUGCUUGGGGGUGUGUUCGUUUUGGUUAGUUGAGUUUGAUGGGUCAUGUACCAUGCGCGUGACUCAGACACUUGUCAUCUUUAUAAGCUCAAAGACCCAAGAAAUUUCUAUCCACUUUCCUCUUGGUAUAUGACUGUCUAAAUAGUAUUUUCACUAGUAGAUAACAUCCAGUUUUCUCAACCUCCAUUUGUGACCAAAGUCAGUGUGGUCUUAUUGGCAUUCUCUCUCUCUCUCUCAAAAGUCUAUUUAUCACAUCUCCUUCUUUCUCCUCUUCCUUUUGAAUAUUUUCAACUGUAUAUCCAAAUCACUAUGGAUUUUUUGACCAACAGAGGAAAGUCCCCUUCCUCUUUCACCCACCAAUGCAAAUAUGAUGUGUUCUUGAGUUUUAGAGGGGAAGAUACCCGCAAUAGUUUUACGGGUAAUUUGAAUGGCAUUUUGCGUCAUCAUGGUAUUAACACCUUCAUGGAUGAUGAGCUCCCGAGGGGUGAAGAAAUUUCUGCAGAACUUUUCGAUGCCAUUGAAAGUUCAAGAAUUUCGAUAAUUAUAUUCUCUAAAAAUUAUGCAUUUUCCACCUGGUGUUUGGAUGAACUUGUCAAAAUUCUUGAAUGUAAGAAGAAAGGCCAAAUUGUGCUACCAGUUUUUUACAAAGUGGAUCCAUCAGAAGUGCGUAACCAAGAGGGAAAAUUUGAAGAAGCUUUGAGAAAACAUGAAGAAGGGUUCAAGGAUAACAUGAAGGUGCAGAAAUGGAGGAUAGCUUUACAUGAAGCCGCCAGUAUAUCUGGAUGGCACUACAAAAAUGACCACCCUCAAUUUACAUUUAUCAAAGAAAUUUUUGAAGAUAUCUCAGGUGCUAAAUUAAAUUAUCCACAAAUAUUUGAUGUUAAAUACCCCGUUGGAAUAGAUUCUCGUGUAGAUGACAUAAAUUGGUGUUUAGAUAUUGAUUCAAAUGAUGUUCGUAUGGUAGUGAUCCAUGGCCUUCCUGGAAUAGGUAAGACAACAAUUGCAAAAGCUAUUUUUGACUUAAUUGCAUAUCGUUUUGAAGGAAGCAGCUUUCUAGAGGAUGUUAAAGAAAACUCAAGAACAAAAGAUGGCAUACUCCAAUUAAAAGAGACAUUUUAUUCUGAGAUCUUAGGAGGUAGAACUUUGAAGGUGCCUGGUGUAUUUAGAAGAAUCAAUGUGAGAAUGGAAAUGCUUCAACACAAAAGAAUUCUUUUAAUUCUUGAUGAUGUUGACAAAUUAAUCCAAAUUAAAAAUUUGCUUGGAGAAUGCAAUCGGUUUGCUCUUGGAAGUAGAAUCAUUAUCACUGCAAGAGAGGAAAAGUUUCUAUCUACUUUUCAAGAGGAUUUUCGUUUUACCUACUAUGACUACAAGGUUAAGGAAUUAGAUGAACAUGAAUCUCGUACACUUUUUUGUCAACAUGCAUUCAAAAGAAGCAAGCCUAAGGAGGAUUAUUUGGAACUCGUAGACUCAUUUAUACAUUAUGCCAAAGGCCUUCCAUUAGCUUUAGAAAUAAUAGGUGCUGAUUUGCAUAAGAGAAAUACACGUUCUUGGAAAAGUGCAUUAGAUAAGUACAAAAGAAUUCUUAAUCCGGAUAUUCAAAAAGUACUCAAAAUAAGCUAUGAAGGAUUGGAUCAAACUCAACGGGAUAUUUUCCUUGAUAUUGCAUGUUUUCUGAAGGGAUCAAACAAGGAUGUUGUUGAACAUAUACUACAAAGUUGCAAUUCUUACGACCCAUAUUACGAUAUUGAAAUACUUAAUGAUAAGUCUCUCAUAGUUUUUGCUAAAGAUGGCAAGUUAUUGAUGCAUGACUUGAUACAACAAAUGGGUUUAGAAAUUGUCAGACAAGAAUUAGAAUUGUCAAAGAAACAUGAAAGGUUAAUAUGUUAUGAUGAUGCUCCUGAAGUAUUAAUUCCAGAUACGGGAUCAGAAGAAGUUCGUGGCAUAUCAUUGUGCUUACCACAGCCAAGAAGCAUGCAAUUGGAUUUCAGAAAGAUGAAAAAUCUCAAAUAUUUGAUAGUUCAUAACGUAAUUUGUGAAAAUCUUAACUAUCUUCCAAAUGAGUUAAGAUUAAUUGAUUGGAAUGAAUUUCCUUUAUCUUCCUUGCUGGCCAUUGUUAAUCUUCAAAAACUUGUUGCACUUAAUAUGCCAAGAAGCCACAUUAAAUUGGAUGAGCAUUUCGAGAGAUGUCGGUUCACAACUUUGAAAUAUAUUGACUUCAGUGACUGUAAAAACAUUACCAAAUUACCUAACUUAUCGGUGAUUGCCCCAAACAUAAAGAAGUUGGAACUUAAUAGAUGUGAAAAUUUAGUUGAGAUUCAUCAAGCAGUUGGACUUCUUGAAGAGCUUGAAUUUUGGAGUCUCCAAGCAUGUAAAAAUCUUGAAAUUAUUCCAAGAAACCUCAAGUUGAAAUCUCUAAAAUGGUUUUAUUUCUAUGACUAUGAAAGUCUUGAGAAGUUUCCCGAUAUUGGGCAAAGAACGAAAAGAUUAGCUCUGCCUUCAUCAGUUGGAAAUCUCACUAGCCUUCAUACAUUAGCCAUCGGUUUUAAAAACAUUAAAGAACUUCCAAGUAGCCUCUCUAAAUUACAAAAUCUUAGGAAGCUCUAUUUGUUUGAUUUUGAAAAUUUUCCAAAGAUCUUGGAUACUCCUGAUUGCUUCCCCAAAUUAGAAGUUUUGUUUUUUUGGGACAGCAACACUGCUACUCUCCCCGACAUCGCUAGCAGAUUUCCUCAAUUAAUGGUCCUUCAUAUUCAAGGGUGCUGGAAUCUUCGGGAAAUUCCAAGACUUCCAUCAUGUAUACGUUCUGUAGUUGCAACAGGAUGCAAUUCGUUGGAUUCACAAUCAAGAAGAAGAUUAUUGAGUCAGUUUGAAGAAAUGGUAGGGCUUCCACAGAAUAUUGUAUGUCCAAGCCGAUCAUUGCACCAGGAUUAUGCAUCUGAAACGGACUUUGCUCACAAAAAAGGGUUUUCAUUUAAACUUAAUGGUGGUGGACACAACCUUGUACUUUCAGGAACUGAGAUUCCAAAGUGGUUCAACCAUCAAAGUGUUGGAAGUUCCAUAUCAUUCUUGGUCGGUCAGAAAUCUCUAACAUUUGCUUGCUGUGCUGCUAUAAAAGUGGAACUAAAGGAUACUAAGCUAAGAAAUCUAUCUGUCCUGGGAGAAGGUGCUAUCUACAUUUUGAUUAAUGGUUAUAAAGGAUUGCUCACAAAUCCUGUAGCUUUUAUGAAUAUAUCAUUUUCAUCUUUUAUGUGGGUACACUAUAAAAGGGAUAUUUCUUUGGAAGGCAUAAUUCUAAAUGGGUGGACUGAAGUUAAGCUUCAAUUUGAAAUUUCAAAUUAUGAUCCAAAAAUUGCUGAAGUUACAAUAGAAAGGUGCGGGGUCCAUGUAGCAUGCAUAUGUUCUCCUCAGAACUCCGCUGUAGAUAAUGUGACUUGCAUAAGAAUUCAUGAAAGAUUAAAUGUGUCUUUUGAUGAAGGAUUAAAAUUUUUUUUAUCCAGAGUGGCUGCGGAAAUCCUCCCCUUUAAGCAGAAGCUGGUCAAAUGCUCUGAAACCCAAGAUGCCUAUUAUUGUCCUCUUUGUGAAAUAGCUGAAGAUUCAGUUUUACAUCUAUUUCAAUGCUGUCCCUAUGCCAAAGAAUUGUGGUAUGGUGGUAGAUGGAGCUUUCAAGUCGAAAUGAUACAAGCUCAAUCUGUUAUGGAAUUCAUUGAACAUAUAAUUGACCCCCCAAAGGAAUUACUGGCAGAGAGAUUGAAAAAAGAGGAAUUCACACUUUAUGCAGUAGUGGCAAUGAAAAUCCUUUGGUGUGCAAGGGAGGAUGCUUUGUUUUCAAACACUAAAGCUAGCAUAACUCAACUAGUCAAUCGUCUUAACAAACAAUAUGACUCUUACAUGAGAUCACUUGAAAUUACACGGGGAACUGAAGAGCAAAACAAGGGAAGUGCUUGGAUCAAGCCAACUGACCAAUGGGUAAAGCUUAAUUUUGAUGUGUCAUGUGAUCAAAAGAAUUUAGGCUUGGCUUUGGUUCUCAAAGAUCAAGAGGGAAAUGGCAAAGUAAUCAGACGUGGCAUAAACAUCAACGACAAGAUGGGCAAUGCCAUUGGACAAACAGGACAGACUUGAGCAAGUUGUGAUAGAGAGUAUAAUUUAUAAAGCUUGUUGUCGAGGAUUUCUCUUUGGGUUGAUCUGUUUGAAUUUUGUCAUCAUUUUCCGCACCAGUAGAAGGUGACACAGCAAGCAUCAUCAACUUCAUUGCAAUCCCUACCGGCUGGGAAUGGAAGAACAUAAUGAAGGAUAUUUCGGCUUGGCUUCUUCCCUGUAUAUGGAUGGGGUUUGAUAAUGACUCUAGUCUUCUUUUUCCUGUAAACUUUCCGACAACAGCAAAGAUGGCCUUGACCUUCUAUGCUGCAUGUAGGAUGUUGACUUCAAUCCAUAUCCAUUUUCGAAGAAAUGAGAACCUCUUUAUUGAACUUCUAAGAAUAUGCCAAGUCUCAUGGUCAAAUGCGCUGAGCUGAUUGUUUCCCUGGAGAGAAUCCCAACUGAUGUUGGCAAAGACACCAUUUUUCGGAAUAUUUCCAGAUAGCUGGUUUCCAGAAAUGUCCAUGAUGUCAAACUGUCUCAAAUGGCCAAAUUCGUUGGACAGAGAACUGCUUAAAGAGUUAUUUGCCAACAGCCAAAAUUUUAGCUGGGAAGCUGAAAAAAUUUGCUUUGGAAUGCUUCCAUUGAGUGCUGUCCUUGCUAGAACAAGCAUCCCUAAUUGCUGGCAUGUUGCUAUACUCAUGGGAAUUCUACCAAAUAACCGAUUGUUUGUCAUGUCGAGCUCAUAUAGCCGUGUAAAAUUGCUAAAGAUAUCCUGAAUUUCUCCAGAGAUCAAGUUGUCAGUAACCAUAAGUCUUUCUAGUUUCUGAAGUUUUCCAAUGGAGUUUGGUAUUUUGCCUUUGAAAAAAACUUUUCCAAUCUUUGAAUAAAUGUUGGAGAUUGACAGAGAGAUUUGCAACAGAA